UACGUAGGUGGCAAGCGUUGUCCGGAUUUAUUGGGUUUAAAGGGUGCGUAGGCGGUCUUUUUAAGUCAGUGCUGAAAUACUCCAGCUUAACUGGAGGGGUGGCAUUGAUACUGGAAGACUUGAGUGUAGUCGAAGUAGGCGGAAUUGACGGUGUAGCGGUGAAAUGCUUAGAUAUCGUCAAGAACACCGAUAGUGAAGACAGCUUACUAGGCUACAACUGACGCUGAGGCACGAAAGUGUGGGGAUCAAACAGG
rnacentral:rRNA from 1 species